rnacentral:rRNA from 1 species
CCCCUGAAAGUUACAGGGUUGAUAGGUUAGAAGUGUAAGCAUAGUGAUAUGUUCAGCUGACUAAUACUAAUAGGUCGAGGACUUAAUUUC